AGCGAACGCUGGCGGCAGGCCUAACACAUGCAAGUCGAACGAACCCUUCGGAGUUAGUGGCGGACGGGUGAGUAACACGUGGGAACGUGCCCUUUGGUUCGGAAUAACUCAGGGAAACUUGUGCUAAUACCGAAUGUGCCCUUCGGGGGAAAGAUUUAUCGCCAUUAGAUCGGCCCGCGUCUGAUUAGCUAGUUGGUGAGGUAACGGCUCACCAAGGCGACGAUCAGUAGCUGGUCUGAGAGGAUGACCAGCCACACUGGGACUGAGACACGGCCCAGACUCCUACGGGAGGCAGCAGUGGGGAAUCUUGCGCAAUGGGCGAAAGCCUGACGCAGCCAUGCCGCGUGAAUGAUGAAGGUCUUAGGAUUGUAAAAUUCUUUCACCGGGGACGAUAAUGACGGUACCCGGAGAAGAAGCCCCGGCUAACUUCGUG
rnacentral:rRNA from 1 species